GGUCUUGGUGAGGUUGGAUGAGGUCUAGAGGAAGGUUCUUGGAGCUGAGGAGGGUCUGGGUGAGGUUGGAUGAGGUCUGGGUGAGGUUGGAUGAGGUCUAGAGGAAGGUUCUUGGUGCUGAAGAGGGUCUGGGUGAGGUUGGAUGAGGUCUGAGUGAGGUUGGAUGAGGUUGGAGGAGGUCUAGAGGAAGGUUCUUGGAGCUGAAGAGGGUCUGGGUGAGGUUGGAUGAGGUCUAGAGGAAGGUUCUUGGUGCUGAAGAGGGUCUGGGUGAGGUUGGAUGAGGUCUGGGUGAGGUUGGAUGAGGUCUAGAGGAAGGUUCUUGGAUCUCAGGAGGGUCUUGGUGAGGUCUUGAGGUUUGGUGGGGACCCUUUUGAAGGGUCUAUUGGUAGAACCUGAAGGUCCUUAUGAGGUCUCCUUGACCUCAACAGAGGUUCUGGGUCAAUUUAAAGGCACUUGAGGUAGAAUUUGGAGGUCCUUAUGAGGUCUCCUUGCCCACAACAGAGGUUCUGAGUGGCUGUGGGUCCUGUUAGGGUAGAACCUGAAGGUCCUUAUGAGGUCUCCUUGACUACCACAAAGGUUCUGGGUCAAUUUAAAGGCUCUGUGAUAGAA